AGUUUGAUCAUGGCUCAGAGUGAACGCUGGCGGCAGGCCUAAUACAUGCAAGUCGAACGGCAGCACAGUGGAGCUUGCUCCAUGGGUGGCGAGUGGCGGACGGGUGAGGAAUACAUGGGAAUCUGCCCAGUCGUGGGGGAUAACGUAUGGAAACGUACGCUAAUACCGCAUGCGCCCUUCGGGGGAAAGUCGGGGACCGCAAGGCCUGACGCGAUUGGAUGAGCCCAUGUUCGAUUAGCUAGUUGGCGGGGUAACGGCCCACCCAGGCGACGAUCGAUAGCUGGUCUGAGAGGAUGAUCAGCCACACUGGAACUGAGACACGGUCCAGACUCCUACGGGAGGCAGCAGUAGGGAAUAUUGGACAAUGGGGGCAACCCUGAUCCAGCCAUGCCGCGUGAGUGAAGAAGGCCCUCGGGUUGUAAAGCUCUUUUGUUGGGGAAGAAAAGCAGUUGGUUAAUACCCGAUUGUUCUGACGGUACCCAAAGAAUAAGCACCGGCUAACUUCGUG
rnacentral:rRNA from 1 species